GUUCUCUCAGAACUGCUUCAAAAAGAAAAAAUAAAGGCCAUUAUUUUAGUUAUUUUUGAAGGUUCCAUUUUUAUCACCAUAUUUCCAAUUGUAUUUGUUGAUUUGUUGACUCCUUUCGUUUUGACAGUAAUAACCUCCCUUCAUUUGGUUUGUCAGCCAGAGAUGUUGAGAGAGAGAGAGGCUGGAAUAAAUGGGAAAGUAAAGUCUACAUCAUAUUUACCACUUGAGAAAAAAAUUGGAACUCCACCGCUUCUCUUCUUCUUUUGUUUUGCACCCAACCCAACCUGCCAACUGGCCAAUCAUAACAUGAGAUGGCCUCUCCAUGAUCGUUGUGUAGCCAACCAGUAGCCACCAGUCACGGGGACACGUUCCCAGUUCCCACACCUGAUGAAGGGCCACAACACCUUAUUUCCACAAGUGCAGUAUAAAGUACAAAGACUUCUUGCUCUGCUACAUAUCAUGAAAGAAGGGUGGUCCCUUGAUUCUGCUGGAAGAAUACCUGGAGAAGAUUGGGUGACUGAGGAGGAGAAGGAACCCGGAGAUUAUUUUUUUUAUUUUUUUUUUAGCAAAUGCCUCUUUUCCCUGUUUUGCUUUGGCGUCUGUGGAAGAGGAUUUUUUGCAGAGACCAACUUUUUGCUGCUGUUUUUUAAACAAGAUGGAAAACCUUUAUAGACACAUUAUGCUCAAAGCAUGCAAACUGACACCGAUAUAUAUAGACAUGAACACACUCUUACCAAACACACAUGCAUACAUACAGGCCAACACACACACACACACACACACACACACACACACACACACACACACACACACACACACACACACACACACACACACACACACACACACACACAUAUUCUCUCAGACAUCCUACAGUAUGUGCAUUUGCCAACUUAAACAUACACGCGGACAGACAGACACACACAUAAACACACACACACACACACACACACAUAUACACACACCAGCUGCCAUUUUGGUUUUCGUGCCUACACAGGUGAUGUGCUCUGUGACAGGCGAGCUCUGAGAAAAGAAGAAGUGAAAUGGAGAAUCCAGGAGAAUUUACAUGCAUCAUUCCUUAGGAAAUAGGGACCAAAGGACUUAACGCUUUUUAAAAGAAUAUAAAUAUAUAUACAUAUAUAUAUAUAUAUAUAUUUAAAAAACUCUUACCUUGUAGCUGCAAGUAUUACAAUUUAAUAGUAGUCAAAAUAAAUCAUUAAAUCAAUAUCCAGUGGCCUAAGUAAGAAUAAAAAGAUAAAGGAAAUAAUGUAUACAUUGAAAAAAAGACAAGGAAACGUAGUAAAGGGGCUGAUUAUUAUGUUCUGGUUGCUGUUUUGCCACCAGUUAGUAGAUUAGAAAAUGUAGAAUACUAGAAAAGUAGAUUUGCUCUUUUUUGCUGUAAUUUUUUUUAAAGAAAAAAAUACUUGAACUUGUAAAGUAAGGGAGGGAUGAAAAAGAUACAAUUAUUCAUUUGGUCUGUCCCGUCCCAGUGGGCUUUGGGGCAUUGGGGUCUCUCUCUUGGAUGUUACGGUCGGGCCGCUGGACAUGUCCCUCAUCAUGGUGUACAACUCACUCACAGCACUAUCUGACAGCUAUAAAGGAACUGUUUUUGAGAAGAGGGGGAAGAAGAAGAGAAAAGACAGAUUAACCUUCCGAGUGUCUGUGCUGGACAGGGUGCAGAUAUGAGAGGCUUAUUUCCCACAAGCCUUUGUGUUCAAGCGACAAUCCACUGUAAAAACCAAGCAAAUCGGACAUGGUGUGUUCUUUUCUUUUGAGCUCUAUUAUUACGACAGGGAGUGUGCUAUUAUAAAAGUUAUUAAAGAAAUGCAUAAAGAGAAGCUUCCGCAAACAAGAUGGACUAAUGGACAAAAAUUAAGGCAAGCAGAGAAGAAAAUGAUUGAGUUGAUAGCUACUGAAACUGCCAAAGGAGUGGACUCAACAGUAUAACAAUGAAUUGGCUCUCGUGGCGUUUGAGUAAACGAAAAAAAUAGACCCAUUAAAAAUAACCAUGUUUUAGGCAAGAGCGAGAAAGAGAGAGAGGGAUAGGGAUAUUUGUGUCCGCUGAAGCCGUUCUAAAGCUCUGGUGAGAUUCAGAAACAUCGCCUCAUCUCCCCGGCUGCAGAACAGACACAAGCAGAACUUGCUCUGAAAGACACACUAGAUUUAUCGAUGGCAAAACAGUGGAAGCUUUUAGAGCUCAUUUAACUUUGUCGUAUAUAAUGUACAUGCCACUGUUAACAUGUCCCAUCCCUGACCUGCUUUUUUUUCAAAUAUUAUAUAAUGAGCCUGUGGAAAAACCUACCUAUCCGACUCAACCUAACCUAACACAGUCUGAAUUACAGCCAUACCACAGCCAUCAUUCAGCACCUCCCUGCCAAUCCAUGCCUAGCAGAACACAGCUCUGAACUCUUAACUUGUCAGGCUUUGACUUAGUGUCCACGAGACCCUUUAUUUGGACUAUUUCACAGUGGUGGAUGCAGCUGGCCCCUCUAUGAAAACCAGAUCGAUAUGUUUGCUACGAGUCUCGAGGAAGGAUAAGAUGGCAAGUCAUUCACUGUCCACACUUCCUCAAGUUCUCUCAGUAGAACACCAGCUCUCCCCCCUCCCUCACAACUCCCUGAGAGUUGACUGAAGGCAUAUGGAGGGGGAGGUAGAGCUGGACAGGGAAGAGAAGGGGAGAGGAAAGUGGGAGAAGUCAACAGCCAAACCCUGAUCUCUGAGCUCUACUCCACGCCAGCAUGUCCAACCUCGUCUUACUUUAUCCUUUAAAGUGAUGCUUCUUGGAGUUUUCCCCCGGGGACCGAAGCCACAGCAAGCGCAGCCUCCAUGUAUCUGUGCUGGCUUGCUCUUGGGGAAUGGGAUUGAAGGGUUGAUAAGGAAUCACUUGGCAUGUAUUAGGUACCUGCUGCCUUCUGUCCAGCCUGUGUCUGUUUACCUCUGGGACUUGCUCUCCAAAGCAGAGCGGACGCAUUCCAAGUCACUGACUGAAAGCCCUGCCUGCCUGCCUGCCUGCCUGCAUCACACAAGAGACAUCAAGACACAUGACUUUCAUUCUCUUUCUCCCAGCUGCUUAAAUACAACACAAUGCCACUCUUUUCUGUGAGCGAAAAGCUCUUGGAUUUGUCUUGAUUUGUAUCCUUGUUUUUAUCAUACCACAUUACUGUAAUGAAUGUUAGCUUCUGACUUUGUGUUUGUGUUCCUCUGCUAUGAAUAGACACUGUUCUGUUCCAUCAUGCCUUCCAGAACGCCAACCUAGCUGUUCAUAGCUGUUCAGCUGUUCCCCUGGAACAAUGUUUCAAACCAACCUGCAGUUCAGUGUUUGGCUUCAGUCGCCUUCGAUUAUCUCUUCCUCCAUAUUAGACAUGCUAUUUCACCUUUCCCUCUAAUCACGUUGUAAUAGUGAGGCUCUAUACAUUAACACCAACCAAGUGAAAAGUCAUCUGCAUAAUCACAUGGACCAAAUGACAGUGGGGAUGGUCCCUUGAAUGCUCUGUGAUGACAGAAGGUAGAUUAGAGAGAAUUAUGUUUGUAGCGGCUCCCUGGCAAGGAUGCCGACAGCUGACCUGGCACCGAUAUCACCGCAGCCGUAUUUAUGAUGGAGAUGGGAUCCAGGAAGCAGGAUGAAACCCUCCAUGUCAAAGCUACUCUGGGUAUUAAUGUUGGAUAUUUGAUUGGCGUGGGUAUAGAUUAUGUUGAAGAUAAGGCAAAAGAGACCCGGUUUGAAAUAUUGCUCCAGGCACAAAAGGUACUGAACAAUAGCAGGUUGAAAUGGUUAGCAGACAACCAACUCUUCCAUUUAAAAACCCUCAGUUCCUCUGUUGCAGCUGCCUGCCGGGUGGCCUGUGCUAUUGUACUUCAGCUUUCAGCACUUAAUUGUGUCUCAACAAUCUCCUCAGAGGCCGCCAUUUUCCACAAAACAACCAGCUCUAAAACAUUUGUCUUUUUCACGGCAGUAUUGCAGUCGGGACACCUGCAAAGCACAGAAUAUUGUUCAGAACUGGAGGUGCACAGUAGUUAUUUUGAAUCAAAACGAUGCCCAUUGAAAAAACAGUGCCAGCUUUGGUCAUGGGUUGUCGCAACUUGCCUUCAAAAACAGUAAAAACACUCAACCUUUAGUUGUUGUGAAGUCAGCCAAACAUGUAGGAAUUAGGAAGCCACAUGCAUUAAUGUGAAGUAGGUCAAUAUGAAUGCAUGUUCUUCACAGCAGCCCCUUUGUGCUCAUUAUUUAUGUAAUGCUGAAUUAAUCAAUAGGAAACCUAAUGUUCCGUGAGCGAUGAAAUCUCCUAUGCUUGUCUCUCUGCCGCUUCAAAAGCACCUCCUGCAAGACUAGUCCCAUUAGCCUCCCCAUGAGCCCUCUGAUGGCUCCUACACCAGAUAAAUGCUGCAUACCCCUACAGUCAACUUAGAGCAAGGUUAGGUUCAGCCUAGGUCCAAUCCCCUGCCCAGUUUUAUAUUCCCUGCUUGGCUAACGUGCUACGCUUGUAUAGCCUUCCUGUUGCACCAGGGAGCUGCAGAAACAUGCUUGGGAAGGCUAGAUUAGACAAUGUUAAAUCAGGGGUCUGUUUGAACGAGGGUACUCUUAUUGCUCUUCUACACAGGGGAGGAAGGUUAUUAGUGUGACAUGCAGUGAAAACAGAAAUAGCUGUAGUGAAGCCAGGCUCUGGAACAUCAGAAAUGAGAAGUGGGUUUUAUAUCCUUCUUUUACUGACUGCAGAAGGCUGCCAGCUCAGCCCAUCUCAGCUCAGAUCUGGCCCUGUCUGGCCUUAAGUCGAGGCACAGGCUGUCUGGAGAAUGUUAACUUAGGGGUGACUCGCCUUACGCAGGACUGAAAUCCACCCACUCAUGUUCAGAUGAGAAUAUUUAGAUUGACAUUAUAGGUUAUUGAUGUUGUUAGUUCAACUCACUUUAUGUCUGUUUGGAAACAUAGUACCAGUCAAAAGUUUGGACACGCCUGCUCAUUCAAGGGUUUUUCUUUAUUUUUUACUAUAUUCUACAUUGUAGAAUAAUAGUGGAGGCUUCAAAACUAUAAAAUAACACAUAUGGAAUCAUGUAGUGACCAAAAAAGUGUUAAACCAAUCUAAAUAUAUUUGAGAUUUUAGGUUCUUCAAAGUAGCCACCCAUUGCCUUGAUGACAGCUUUGCCCACUCUUGGCAUUCUCUCAACCAGCUUCACCUGGAAUGCUUUUCCAACAGUCUUGGAGGAGUUCCCACAUAUUCUGAGCACUUGUUGGCUGCUUUUCCUUAACUCUGCGGUCCAACUCAUCCCAAACCAUCUUAAUUGGGUUGAGGUCGGGUGAUUGUGGAGGCCAGGUCAUCUGAUGCAGCACCAUCACUCUCCUUCUUGGUCAAAUAGCCCUUACACAGCCUGGAGGUGUGUUGGGUCAUUGUCCUGUUGAAAAACAAAUGAUAGUCCCACUUAGUGCAAACAAGAUGGGAUGGCGUAUCGCUGUAGAAUACUGUGAUAGAAAUGCUGGUUAAGUGUGCCUUGAAUUCUAAAUAAAUCCCAGACAGUGUCACCAGUAAAGCACCCCCACACCAUCACACCUCCUCCUCCAUGCUUCACGGUGGGAAUUACACAUGUGGAGAUUAUCCGUUCACCUACUCUGCGUCUCACAAAGACACGGCGGUUUGAACAAAAUCUCAAAUUUGGACUCAUCAGACCAAAACACAGAUUUCCACCGGUCUAAUGAUGAUUGCACGUGAUUCUUGGCCCAAGCAAGUCUCUUCUUCUUAUUUAUGUCCUUUAGUAGUGGUUUCUUUGCAGUAAGGCCUGAUUCACACAGUCUCCUCUGAACAAUUGAUGUUGAGUUGUAUCUGUUACUUGAACUCUGUGAAGCAUUUAAUUGGGCUGCAAUUUCUGAGGCUGGAACUCUAAUGAACUUAUCCUCUGCAGCAGACAUAACUCUGGGUCUUCAUUUUCCUGUGUCUGUCCUCAUGAGAGCCAGUUUCAUCAUAGUGCUUGAUGGUUUUUGUAACUGCACUUGAAUAAACUUUCAACGCUCUUGAAAUGUUCCAUAAUGACUGACCUUCAUGUCUUAAAGUAAUGAUGGAAUCAUUUCUCUUUGCUUAUUUGAGCUGUUCUUGCCAUAAAAUGGACUUGGUAUUUUACCAAAUAGGACUAUCUUCUGAUUACCACCCCUACCUUGUCACAACACAACUGAUUGGUUCAAACGCAUUAAGAAGGAAAGAAAUUCCACAAAUGAACUUUUAACAAGGCACACCUGUUAAUUGAAAAGCAUUCCAGGUGACUACCUCAUGAAGCUGGUUAAGAGAAUGCCAUGCAUGUGCAAAGCUGUCAUCAAGGCAAAAGGUGGCUACUUUGAAGAAUCUCAAAUAUAAAUAUAUUUUGAUUUGUUUAUCACUUUUUUGGUUACUUAAUGAUUCCAUAUGUGUUAUUUCAUAGUUUUGAUGUCUUCACUAUUAUUCUACAUUGUAGAUAAAAGUAAAAAUAAAGAAAAACCCUUGAAUGGGCAGGUGUGUCCAAACUUUUGACUGGUACUGUAUGUAAAAUAUAAUAUAACAAAAACAUAUUUAUGGUCAUGUCAACAGUCACUGUAAUGUCUGACCUUCUCAUGUAACAUUAGCACCUGUGAGGCAGUUAUUCACAUUUCUUAACCUCUGGUUAUUCUGCCUCCUCUACUGGCUCUAGUUAUAAUACCUUCCUAGUUUGCAUUCCAUAAAGUCUGUCCUCAUGAGGAGUUAGAAACCUCAGAGCUCCGAGGCUGACAGAGGGGCAGGGUAACCAAUCCUAAGAGCCGAAGAGGUUGACUAAGAGCCUAGAUAACCAAUCAUCUGAGCUAUGAAGCUGGUGGAUGGGUUGAAUAACCAAUCCUAGUGAGCAAAGAGAGAUCUGCCUAGCAUGUCUAGCAGACCCCAGCCCCUGGGUGUAGAGAACACUCACCCUAAAAUAGCAGUGAUUGUCAAGGAAAGGAAGUGAAAUGUAAUUGACUGAAAGUGGAGAGAUAAUUAAAGGAACCUGUUGGACAGGAGGGAGAAAUUAAUGGCUCUCAUUUAAUAGCUGCUUUGGGAGAAGAGGAGAGCUUUUCCGUCAUCUCGCUUAGGCAACGCAAAAAGGGGUUUUCGCCGUGGAAAUGGGAUUUUAGCUGAGAGGGGAAGUGAAGUGGGUUUGGAGGGGGGGGUUGGGUGCUAAACUGAAACUCCACAAAGUCACUUCGAUACUCAGGGCAUCAGGCGCUAUGAUGUCAUGAUUAGUGGAAACUUUCAGAGCCUUGCCUUCCCCAUGGGCCCUGCCUGCCUUGUCAGGCUGGGGAGGAAUAAGAGCUGCGUAUUCACCCAGAGGCGCAGAGAGUAUGGUGGGAGCUGGGGGAGCAUGUUGGACCUCUGCCAGGGCAGCUGGAGGAGCCAGAGACAGAAUCACACUGUCAGUCAGUCACGGGGAGUGCUGUCUGUCAUUGAAACAUUAAUGCCUUGGAUCCAUCAGGUCAUCGUGCAAUUUUAAAAGACACUAAAAGGAAGACUUUGAUCCUAUCAUAAACAACAUAAAGAGCAGUCAAUCACAGAAAAGUGUGGGAUCAUGUUUGACAACAAAGCUGGAGAUUCGAAUCAAAGUGAUGGAGACAGAAUUUUUUAUUCCUUCAUGUAAAUAAUUGAACACAAACAAAUGAGUCAGGAAGUAAGAACUGUACAGUAGAGAGGUCUGUCUAUAGUAGUCACCUGGCUGUGUGGACAUUGAUGUCACUAUAAAACGUAUCCACAGCAGUGCAGGGAAUCUUUGGAGAGGGUGGGAUAUUUUAACCUUUUGGCCUUUUGGUUACUGAGUAAAUAUGAAUGAAUAUGCACUAUACACUCAGCUGAACACCACCCUACAUAACAGGGAGAAGAUAGCAGAGAUCUGAUUCUAGAUGAUUUAGUAGGGCUUCAAUUCCAGCCUGGAGCAAUCCAUUAAUUAGGUUUACACUGACACAUCAUGAUAUUUCUGACAGUUGAAAGAUUGCCUGCGCACUAGCUAAUUGGAUUAAGUCCAAUCGGAGCUGAUGAGACUGAUAUAUGUGACCUCAAAGACGUGAAGAGUAGGCCCGCCCUCAGUCUGCUCCGUGCCAUGCAGAGGAGCAGGUGAUAGUGACAGCAGCCGUUAGUUCGCUAGUCGCUAGCUAGCUAGCUUGCCAUCGGGGCUGGGCGGCGCCCGCCAGUCACCGCUAUACUCCACAGUUCCACGGGUAUGGGCAGAAGGGGGUGAAGGGUUGCCAGAUUGGAGCUGAAAACAUAUUUACGCAUUAUCCAAACACAGAACACAGGUGUAUGAUGAGAAAAAGAGAGGGACAGGUGAGCCGGAUGCACUGCUACUAGAAUGAAUGACUACCCUGCAGAUCUCCCUGCCUCUGUGGCCUGCCCCUGCCUCUGCUCUCCCCACGGCCCGAGUACACAGCUGCCUGUGGUACUCCUGUACAUAUUACAUAGCUUAUUUUUUAAUUCUGUUAAGGCUUCUUUAUAGACGACCGUACAAUAAAUCAUGUUGGAAAAAAAGAAAGAAAUAGUUCAUAUAUUUCACUGACUACGAGAAGGAAACUAUGAAAUAAUUUAUCAAAUUUAUCAACAGUAGGGAUUUUUUUUUUUCUUGUAUAUUGAAGUGCUGAUGUUAAAAUGGAUUUUAUAUUAAUGUUGGUAAAUGGUUCUUUUUUUCCAUUCUCUUCUGUUUUCUGUUUUGUUAUCUGCUGAAGCUGGGAUGGACCCAUUGUCUCAAGGUUUAUUCUGAUAUGCUUUGAAGAUACAUGUUGAAGGGACUUUUUGCUACACAAUCCUGUAUGGAAUUACUUGUAAAUGGGCAAGUUUAAAGACAUGCUGUUGACAGAAAGCUCUUACAUUCAGUACAAGACUUAGAAACUGGACUGUAAAAGAUGAUAAAAGGUCAUGGGGAUUCAUAAAGAUGAAUCCAUUGCACAACACAAUUUUGAGAGGACGCAUCGGCUGUAAGUAACGUUCAAAAGGAUUUCAUUGUCGACCUUCUGUUCUUUUGGAAAACCUCAGAACAUUUGUUGUCAGAUUUGUUUUGAAAAAUAAGCUGUCAUUUACCGUGAUCAUUGUCUUUUAGCCAUACAUUUCUCUUUUGUUUGAUCAUUUCUUUCUUCAUCUUGAAUGUUUUUUUUCUAGAAAAAGAAUCAGAGACAUCUCUUUUAUUGUCAUCUUUUCUGUAUGCGGGAAGUUUCUCUCAGACAUAAUUUCUUAAGAGCUAUUUCAACAUUACUGGACAAACUUGUAUAUAACAACUGUGGUUGACUCCAACACCACUGAAGAAAAUGUGCCACUAACAGAUUAAAAGUUCCACAACACUGUUUUGGUCUAGUCAGGUCAACCCAUGGCCUUGACACCAAACUGAUCAAGAGAGGGAAGUCUGCCUUAAAACACAUGCAUUCUCUCUGGCAGUAUUACCUUAAAAAAUGUAUCACAUACAUUGUAUCCUGGGGAUGCCAAUGCUAGUUCUUUUCCAUUGUUCGUAAACAUGCUCUGGUUUUUCCUUGCUGAGAUGAUGAGUUUCUGUUUAAUUGAAAUGCAGCUGUCAGUUGUAAAGAUUGCCUUGUGUCAGUUUUGCUUCAAUCCCACUUCUGACACCAAUAAGGACGGGGUCAUACAGUACAGUUACAUUUCCAUCGGUUACAUGGACCAAAUUUUACCACAUGAAAUCAACAGAGCAGAGUUGCCCUAAUCAAACAUGAAAUGAGAGCCUUUGUGCAACCAUUAAGAUAUAAAGGAAAGCGAAAAUCAUCCACUGUACUUUGCUUCAUGAGACAUUACAUUCCCAGCUUCUCUUUCGCAUUUCAUCCACUUGAUUUUACUUCUGUCAGACAUAUAAAACAUGUAAUUUUAUGUAUUUUAUCAUAAUUUAUUUUAGGUACUUAUUAGCUGAUUUAUUUAUAUUUUAGAUAUAAUUGUAUAUCUUUCUCAUUUUUACUUGAACAAAGUUAGUUGAUUAUCCCUAUUUUCUCAAAACAGAACUGUAAUUUGACUUAGUGUUGGCACGGGUCUGUUUUCCCUAAUUCGGGGUGGUUCCUCCCAUAGUGCUCCUGAACUGUAGUUCUCUAGUUCAUUAUAUUCUGCUUAGACUAAAAUAAAGCACAGUCCUGUAGAAGAUUGAGCCUGCAUUGUCCUCCUUUUAUUGAUUCAAUAAUAUACAAUCAACUGAAGUCUGCUGAACUUGGAAGAGCAUGCCUUGACAUGGCCUUGGUUGGUAUAGCUGUAAAACAUCUUGUGGU
ensembl:lncRNA